rnacentral:rRNA from 1 species
AAACGACUCUCGGCAACGGAUAUCCCGGCUCUCGCAUCGAUGAAGAACGUAGCGAAAUGCGAUACUUGGUGUGAAUUGCAGAAUCCCGUGAACCAUCGAGUCUUUGAACGCAAGUUGCGCCCGAGGCCACUAGGUUAAGGGCACGUCUGCCUGGGUGUCACGC